GACGAACGCUGGCGGCGUGCUUAACACAUGCAAGUCGAACGGAAAGGCCCUGCUUUUGUGGGGUGCUCGAGUGGCGAACGGGUGAGUAACACGUGAGUAACCUGCCCUUGACUUUGGGAUAACUUCAGGAAACUGGGGCUAAUACCGGAUAGGAGCUCCUGCUGCAUGGUGGGGGUUGGAAAGUUUCGGCGGUUGGGGAUGGACUCGCGGCUUAUCAGCUUGUUGGUGGGGUAGUGGCUUACCAAGGCUUUGACGGGUAGCCGGCCUGAGAGGGUGACCGGCCAAAAUGGGACUGGGGUAAGGCCCCGACUCCUACGGGAGGCAGCAGUGGGGAAUAUUGCACAAUGGGCGGAAGCCUGAUGCAGCAACGCCGCGUGCGGGAUGACGGCCUUCGGGUUGUAAACCGCUUUCGCCUGUGACGAAGCGUGAGUGACGGUAAUGGGUAAAGAAGCACCGGCUAACUACGUG
rnacentral:rRNA from 1 species